rnacentral:lncRNA from 1 species
UCAGGCGCGGGCCCGGAUCCAAGAUCAAACUCAGCUGAAGUCAGUUCCUCUCAACCUGCCCUGGCAUCAAAGUCUCAAAGCAAGUGGGGGCCAACCAGCAACAACCCCAGGGGAGCUUUGACAACCACAGAAUUUGAGAUGGCUGGUAAUCGUUCUCAGAACAUAAAACACAAAUAGAGACAGCGUUUCACCAUGUUGGCCACUCUGGUCUCAAACUCUUGACCUCAGGUGAUCCGCCCGCCUCGGCCUCCCAAAGCGCUGAGAUUACAGGCGUGAGCCACCGUGCCCAGCCGAAAAUCAUUCUUACACCUACUGUCCUGGAGCUGACUUCAGUUUAAAAUCCCCUCAAUAAGUCACACCUUAAAAAAAAAAGGAGGGGUUAUUCCUGCUUUUGCCGUGCUGUGAUCCAGGGCAGAGCUCCAGGCUUCAUACGGUAAAACUCUCUGGGAAGGAAAGGAACUCAGAGUCCCAUGCAGAAAAUUGUUCAGCUGGAGGGGUAUCAGAAAGAUGGAUUUCCAAAGCCAACUGUUUCCUGUAGUGUGUGGAUCUCUGCAAGCAGAGCCUCAUCUUUCAAUUUCAGCUACAUGAAAGAGGAAGAAAGGGAAAGAUAUAUGUCAUACGUGAUAUACUUUAUGUGGCUUUGAAGACCCCUCUUUUGUGGGGCUACGGCUAAAGAACAUAGUUCCCUGGGAUGGAAUUGGCUCUUCCUAUUUCCCUACUUCAUGAAAACUCCAGUAGAAGACCUUAGAACCUUGUCCUGGUUACAUGGAUAUGUUUACUUUGUGAAAAUUCAUCAAGCACUAUGCACGGUCAUGAUUUGUACAUUUUUUUGUAAGAUAACUUCAUUAAAAUUUACUUUUUUU